CUUGUCUCAAAGAUUAAGCCAUGCAUGUCUAAGCAUAAAUGAAUUCAUAGUGAAGCCGCGAAUAGCUCAUUACAACAGCCAUCGUUUAAUGGAUAUAUUUUUACAUGGAUAACUGUGGUAAUCCUACAGCUAAUACACGCAUCAAAACCCAACCUUACGGUGGGGUGCGUUUGUUACUUCAAACCAAUCGGACUCCGGUCUGAAAUCAAGUGAUAUUGAACAAUUUAGCUGAUCGCACGGUCUGAGAACCGGCGACAUAUCCUUCAAAUGUCUGCCUUAUCAACUUUCGAUGGUAGAUUACGCGCCUACCAUGGUUGUAACGGGUAACGGAGAAUCAGGGUUUGAUUCCGGAGAGGGAGCCUGAGAAACGGCUACCACAUCCAAGGAAG
rnacentral:rRNA from 1 species